rnacentral:misc_RNA from 1 species
GAUGAAGAACGUAGCGAAAUGCGAUAAGUAGUGUGAAUUGCAGAAUUCAGUGAAUCAUCGAAUCUUUGAACGCACAUUGCGCCCCUUGGUAUUCCGAGGGGCAUGCCUGUUCGAGCGUCAUUAUAACCCCUCAAGCUCAGCUUGGUGUUGGGGCCUGCUGCACUGGCAGCCCUUAAAAUCAGUGGCGGCGCCAUCUGGCUCUAAGCGUAGUAAUUCUUCUCGCUAUGGAGUCCUGGUGGAUGCUUGCCAUCAACCCCCAAUUUUUCUAUGGUUGACCUCGGAUCAGGUAGGGAUACCCGCUGAACUUAAGCGUAUCAAUAAGCGGAGGA